UUUAAUAAAAUUUCGAAAUCUAAACUAUUAAUUCGAAUUAAUUAAACUUAUAUGAUAGUGUUAAUAAUUUUAUAUUACAAUCCCAUUUACGUAAUUAUCAUUUUAAUUUUAAUGACCACCGCGAGUAAUGAAUAGCUUACGUUUAUGUAUUAAGAAGCGCGUAAAAGAUUAAUCCACAGAGAUAAUCCACUUCCUUUUAUAAAAAGAAUAAUAGCAGUAGCUUUUCCAUUAUGAAAUAUACUCUUUGAACCGACCUUGUCAUUAAUUAUUUCCUGCAUGAAACUUCCAAACACGUGACAAUUAAAAUGAUGUGUUACUCAACAGGUGUUUCGCAUGAAUUGAUGUUCCACUAAAAAAGAUUAAACCGUGUUUCCAUUGAAGCAACAAUUGUGCAGUGUAAAUUUAAUUUUAUAUAUAUAUAUAUAUAUAUAUCGAAAAAGAAAAAAACGAGGAAUAAUAAUAUAAUAAUAAUUCCAAGAUCUCUAAUUAUUCAUUCUCUCUUGUUAUGUGAUCAUUUUUAGGUUAUACAAUUUGUCACAUUGAAAUUGAUCGAUUAUUGAACGUGGAGCCUAACUUAUAUAACGUAACGUAACGCCGCAAUAAGAAACACGAAGACGGAUAGUGUGAAUUAUUUAAAAUGACAGGAAGAAACAAAAAGACUGUGAAAAAAAUAUUAUUUAAAAGUGCAGUAAGGAGGAAUUCCAUCUUGUGCGCAAAGGAUCCAAGAAUUUCGUCGUCUUGCCGCUAAAUCUAUAGAAUCGCUCGUUUGUGCGGAAAAUUGGCUCUUUCAUGCAUUAUUUAUAUGGAAAAAAUCACGAAAAAGAAGCGGGAAAAUGAAAGAAUGGAAAAUAAAAUCGUCGAGUGCAUGGCAGCCGCACAUUAAAUAAAAUGGAAGAAGCUCGUUUUUUUUGCACAAACCAGCGAUAUCGAUCACGAUUCGGCGGACAAUCGUCAAGCAUCCCUGGUGCCAGCCACGCUACGAAUUCUACGUUAGCGAUCACAGGCGGUAUACAUGAACUAGUUGUGAAGUUAUUUGUAAUAUUAUAGAAUAUAUAAUACAUAUUAUAAACAAAUAUAAUAUA